CUAGUGAUCAUGACCAAAUACAAAAAAAAAAAAUUUGUCUAGGUCACCUCAAAUAUGAGUGGGAACAUUUCCUCCAAAGAAUUCAAUUUAAGUGUACUAUGAGAAACUUGUUAUUUCCUCUAUCACAAGAGAUGUAUAAAAUUCAAAGUACUUACAGAUUAAAACAUAAAAUACUCAAUGUGUCUAUAAUACUCAUUAAACUUUCCUUUUAAAUAAAAGCCCUUUGUAAGACUACUGAAAAAAAUAUUUUCCAUUCACAUCAAAUCUAGAUCAUAAAGCAGCUCAUAGCUACAUAAAAGAGGAUUGGCAAGAUCAGUUCUCCUGUCCCCCCUUCCCCAACGUGUGGUUUUAUUGCCUCAACUACAAGACAAUCCUUUCCCUUCCCUAAAUUGCAGCCUGUGAAGAAAAGCUCUAGGAAACCAGUGCCCAAACUCUUCAACAAUUCUUAAACUUAAGAACUGAACUCAAAGUUUCCUCUAAGUUAUUCCCAAGUUUUGAAGUGUUCAUUUUAAGGAUUCAAAAUCCUUUUUUUUUUUUGAGUACAAAUCCAUUUUGAUUUGUACUCAAAAAAGGAAACAGAAAUGGACAAGAAUGACAAGAACUUGCAUCUCAGGAUAGGCAGGACAAGUAUAGGCAUCAGAUAUGAGACUCCCUUGAAAGGUGGUAUUUUGGGGGCAGUAAGCUAAUAAAGUUAAUAGAAUAUUGAGCCAGAAGAUGUGAGUUCAAAUCUAGCCUCAGACACUUAUCUUAUGAUCCUGAGCAAAUUGGUUUCCUCAUCUAUAAAAUGCAUUAGUAAUAGCACGUACCUCUGAGAGUUGAUUACUUGUAUCUUCAGAAAAAGAAGGCAGAAAAGCAGAAAUAGGCUGGGGGAGCACUCUUUGCACUUCUAAUUAAACACAACUCCCUGAAGUCAGCAGAGCUAGAAUCCAGAAGUGACCCAGGAAAUGCUGUAGGAGGAGGUGACAGCCAGGAUAUCAUGUAAACCAUAAGAUCCAGGCACAUUUUGAGAACAAUGCGAACUCCUCUCCCCAUCACCACUACUAUUCACUCAGAUAAUAUUCUUUGUGGCCAUAACUAAGAGUUUUAAGUAAAAUGUUCUUCAAACAGCAUUCCCUAUUUGAAGAAAGUCCACCAGGAAGAAUGAAUAAAUUCUGCUGGUUGGUUCUUCGAAAGCUUCAGUGACUGUCUUUUGGCCAGCUCUCUACCACAAGUCACUUCCCAAGUAAUUCUUUUUUUUUCUUCCUGAGACAAUUGGGGUUAAGUGACUUGCCUAGGGUCACACAGCUAGGAAAUGUUAAGUGUCUGAGGUCAGAUUUGAACUCAGGUCCUCCUGACUUCAGGGCUGGUGCUCUGUCCACUGCACCACUUAGCUGCCCCUCCAAGUGAUUCUUUUAAUUUAAAUUAUGGGGCCUUGAGUACAAGGUGGGCUUAAGGUCCCUUUAUUGCACCAAUCAUAAAUAACAUUUUCAUUUGAUAGUUGGAGAAAGGGAAUCAAGAGAGGUUAAGUUAUUUAUUUACAUAAUAGCAGAAUUGCAAUAUUGGGCUAAUGUUCUUGAGAUUCCCCCAGAAAAGGGGGGAUAAGCUCCAUCGGACAUUAUUAUCACCAAAAAGGAAUAGGUCUAGAAUUCUAUUUUUUCCAUAAAACUCAAACUCAAUGUUGCUCUCACCCCUUUCAUUCUCUUACCAAACCACAGGAAUUCUCUAAAUCACAUAAUUGAUCUACUCAGAAUAGCAAUUAGCUCUUGGUAGUAAGGGCUGUCACAAGAUCUGAAAUAAAAUAAAAUCAGUAGGAAAUAAGAAAAAAAAUUGUUUCUCUGUUUUCCUUGCAUACAAACAGAAGCAUUUCCAUGGGAUGAAAAAGUGAGGAAGAACAGUCCCAGGAUUAAGUUGCUUGAACAGAUUCAUAGGAAUUAUAAAAUACCCUUAGGAGGCUUGAGGCUACAGGAGAUCGUGGGUUCUAAGCAGCAUGGUAUAAUAGAAAGACUUUUAGCCUCAAGCACCCUGAGUUCAAAUCCAAACUUUCUUAUUACCUAUGUGACCUUGAAUGAAUCAUCUAACCUUUUUAUUUCGAUCUUAUUUUCCUUACCUAUAAAUGAGAGGGUCAGUCUAUAUAUGACCUCUGAGGCCCAUCAGUUCUAAAUUUGUGAUCAUUUAGUUAAUUCUCUCAUUUUCAGGGAUAUUAACUAAAGAUUAGAACAGUGAGAAUUGAAAUCCAAAUCCUUUAAAUUCAAACCUAGUUUUCUUUAUACCUUGGAUAUUCCAUGAGUGGAUGGAGUCAAAUGUAACCUUUUCCCAUUCAGUCUCACAGUGUUGGCUUGGGCAGACCCUUGUGGAGAAGGCGCACAAAGAGACACACAGGUUUUGACCCGGCACUGUCACUCAGUAAUUGCCUCUGAAUCUCUUUGUCUUGCAUGCAUAUACAGAAGAGCCUAGCAAAGAGCUUUGGAGAGAAGAGCAAAAAACUAUAAGGUUCUCUCUUCUCCAAAUGGCUCUGUGCCCAUUCACCUUGGCCCCCUGAGCAGCUGAGACCCAAACCCCACUCCCUUUUCUUGACUAUAUGAAAGAACUAUCAGAAUAUGAGGCCCCAGAAUAACCCUAGAUUCCCUUCUUCUGGAAGUUUUAGAGCCAUUACAGCCAAGAAUAUGUACUUUUGCUAUGGAAAGGCUAACUAGAGGAGGUAGAAGGAGUUUAACAUGAUAGAUAGCAUAAUACAUUACCAGUCACUUCUCCUCUAAGUCUCCAUUUUCUUUGGAUACAGACACUGCCCCGUAUAUUAGGUUGUGAAGCAUUUUAUAACCUUAAAUAUGCAAUAUCAACAUAGCAUGAACACUUCAGGGCCUCCAUGAUUUCAUAAGUGUAAAUAAUUCUGCACAGAUGCAGAUUGCAACCCCUCCAUCCCUUAACAAAUGAAUAGUCUUUGCAGUUGCUGUGACUGAAACUCUGUCGUGGGGCCAACACAGUAAUGGGGCUCUGUAAAAUUAAUGUUGGUUUAUUCGUUGUAUAAUAAGAUUGCAAUGUAUCACUGGAUUCAUUCUUGAAGCUUUUCCAGCUUGCCAGGACUUGCAAGCACUUUGCUGAUGUGGUUUUCAAGAGUAACUCCUAUGCUACAAUGAAGCAAUGGGCAGGAUGGUAUGGGAGGAUUACAAUCGUGAUCAUCACCACCCACCACCAUUACAUAAUAAUAAUUAAAAAAUGAAGGAUGGGAUGUAGGAAUGCGAGGGAGAAAGGAGCAGAAACAUGAAGUCACACUGUCAGGGGCCCUAAACAGAUGGGGAGAAUUGACUCAGCUUCAUCUACCAGCUCUGUGCAGGGGAUUACAAAAACUUUCCCCAUAGGUUCUAAAUCUAUAUAACUUAACUCCUUGCUGGACUAAAUCCUCCUUGGAUUCCUACAAGUCCCACAAAUAUGAGAUAACAUACAUAAAGUACUUUGCAAACUUUAAAGUACUAUACAAAUGCUAGCUUUUAUAACAGGCAUAAGGUAAAAUCUCAAAGCUGAUUUUUCAUUUCUUUAAUUACCAGUGGUUUGAAAUAUUUUGUUUCUAAUAGCUAUUGAUAAUUUAGACUUCUCUGAAAACUGUGUGGUCAUUUUCUUUAACCAUUUUUCAAUUGGGGAAUGGCUCUUAAGUCUUAUAAAUUUUAUUCCGUUUUUUUAUUUAUCUUGGAAAAGAGAAACAUGCUGCAGCAAUUUAUACAUGCACAUAUUCCCUCCACAUAUACACCACAUCCACCAAUUAACUGUUAUUCUUCUACUUUUAGUAGAUUAUUUUUGUGCUAAAAUUUUUUCAAAAUUUCAAGUCAUAAUUUGUCCACUUUAACUUCUGUGAUCCCCUGUUCCUUGUCAUAAACGCUUCUGAAAGGUAUUAUCUUCCUUAAAACUGUAAUUUCCUUAUGGUGUUACUUUUUGUCUAAAUGAUGUACAAUUUGGACCUUAUCAUAUCUCAUAUGAUGUAAGAUGUUAAUGCCUAACAAACUAUUUUUGUUUUCUAUUAGUUUUUCUACUAGUUUCAAAGUUCUCCAAUAGUUGGGGUCUUUUGGUCAAGUACUAUGCUACUGUUGUUUCUGUUUUGUAUCUAAUCUGGUCCAAUGACCAAUCUAUAUUUUUAAUCAGUACCAAAUUUUUCAUUGACCACUGCUUUGUAUAUUGUUUGAACUCUGGUACUGAAAAACUGCCUUCUUUCGCACUUUUUUUUCAUUACCACCAUUGCAAGUUUGGGUCAUUUUUUCUCUAUAUGAAUUGUUAUUUUUUUCUAACUUUAUAAAUCUGUUAGUUAAUUGGUAUGACGCUAAGUCAAUUAAGGUAGUUUUGUCACUUUUAUUGGAGGGGCCUACCCAUGAGUACUGAAUAUUUCUUCAAUUAUUUAGCAAUUAUUUAUUUUUUCUUUCUAUAAGCAAUGUUUUAUACUUAUUCAUAUAGGUCCUGUGUGUGUCUUGGUAGAGUCAUAUUUAAUAGCUUCCAUAGCUAUUUUGAAUGAAAUUUAUUUUCCUACUGUUUUGUUUUCUUUCAUUUUUGGCAAUAUUCAGUAAUGCUGAUGAUUUGCUUGGAUUUAUUUUAUGCCCUAGAAUUUGCCAAAUUUAUUCUUGAUUUUUAGUUGACUAGGAUUUUCAAAAUAAACCACAUCUGCAAAAAUCAGUAAUUCUAUUUCUUUACAUAUGAUUAUUCCCUUGAAUUCUCUAUCUUGAUUUAUCACUAUAGCUAGCAUUUCUAGUACCAUGCUAACUAGUAGUGGUGAUAAACAUCCUUGUUUUGUCCCUGAUUUUAUUGGAAAGAUCUUAAUUUUCUCCUGUGUUUGCUCUUAGUUUUUAAAUAUUUACUAAUGAAGGAAAAGUUCAUUUUUUUCUUAUGCUUAUAUAGUAUUUUGUAACAGAAAUUACAUGUGUAUUUGAUCCCAUCUCCUCUGGUCUUUUCCAGCAGAUUUACAUUUUUCUAUUGACUCUUCUGCAUCUCCCUAAAAACUGAUUCUUCCUGUAUUGCUUCCAAAUAAACCCUAUUCUUUAAAAAAAUUUCAUUGGACCCUUCCAUCUCCUAUUGAUCUUUCUCCUCCCUUUCUUAAUCAAACUUCUUUAUAAAAAUCUGCCUACAUCUGCUGGUUCAUUUCCUUCCUUCCCAUUUCUCAUUCCUUUGCAAUUUGCCUUCCACAACUUUAUCACUCAAGUGAAAUUGAUUUCUCUAAAGUUACUGAUAAUCUCUUGAUUACCAAAUCUUAAGGUCUUUUCUCAAUCUUCAUCCUUCUUGACCUAGCUGCUACAUUUGACACUGGUAACCAUCCUCUUCUCCUAGCUUUUGGAUUUUCAUGACAGUAUUCUCUACUAGUUCUCCUUCCUGUCUAAUAAUGCCUUCUCAUUCCUCUGCUGCCUCAUUAUCCCUAUCAUACCACACUUGACCUGUUGGUAUUUCUCAAUUCUGCAAUUUCUGUCUUGGUUCUUCUUGCCUUUUCCUUUAAACAUUCUCACAGUAACUUCAACAGCUUCCAUGGGUUUAACUACAAUCUCUAAACCCUAGCUUCUCCCUCAGCCACCCAUCACCGACUGCCUAUUGACCAUUUAAAACUCUCUGUCCUGGAGUAAUCUUAAACCCCUUAUGUUCAAAACUAAACUUAUCUUUCUCCUCCUCCUAAAUUUCUAAUUACUGCCAUACUUUCGGUCUCUAAGUUUCAAAAACAGCACAUUAUCUUGAACCUUUCCCUCUCUUGACAUAUCUAAUCAGUUAAAUCUUGCUAUUUCCAUCUUCUACAAAAUCUCUCAAAUCCUUCUCAUUUCCUUUCAACUCCAUUACCAUCUUAGUUCAGGGAUCCAUUACCUCUUUCAUACAUUACUGCAAUAGCCUCAAAACUGCCAAAGGAAUUUUCCUUGAAUAUAGAUCUCACCAUGUCACCCUCACCCAUAAGCUCCAGUGACUUCCUAUUGCACAUUAGGAUCUUGAGGGAAAAUAUUAAACUCCUCUGGCCCCAACUAUUUUUCCAGGUUUAUUGGACAUUACUUCCCCUCCCACACUCUGCAAUGCAGCCUUCUCUCUCGUUCUUUAAAGGUAAUAUUCCAUCGUGACUCCGUGCCUUGCAAUAGCUUCCUUGCAAUAUCUUUCUUUCAUGCGCAGAAUGCAUUCCUCUCCCCCCAUCCCCUUACUUCAGCUUCAUGGAGUGCUCUUAUGACACAGGUCAAGUGUUGUAUUCUACUCAAAGUCUUUCUUGAUCUCAACUAGUUCUCUUAAAUUUAUAUUUAAGUACUUCCUCUAUGUUUCAUUCACUUGAUACAAAUGCUAUAUGUUUAUUUUCUUGUGGACUUAUUAGAAUAUAUUAAGUUCAAGAAUAGGGACUGCUUCCUUUUUCUGUAAUUGUAUAUCCCCUUACCUAGCAAAGUGACUUCAUAAAUACUUGAUAGGUGAUUGCUCUUUAGGAAAUCAUCAUCAUCAUAGCUGAGAUUUCUUUAUAUAAUGCUUUUAAGAUUUGAAAAGUUCUUUACAAUUUAUACCUACCUCUGUUAAGAUCUGUGAAGUACCAAAUUUUCACAGAUGGGGAUAAAAAGAGUUGUGAUUAGCUCAUGGUGACACAGAUGCUAAGAAGGGACUGAAAGCCAGAUUUCAUAUUAUUUCUAUGCCUCUCUUCCACACUAUCUUUUCCAUCUAUGCUAGAUAUCCUCCCUAAUAGGGUCAGGUAUCUUUUUAGAGCACACUUCUGUAUUUUAUUUUCCUUCUUAAUAGUAGUAAUCAGAAGACAGUCAAGCUUAUCUAUUGUUCUAUCUAUCAAGGAGGGGAGGGGAGGAGAGAGAGAAGACUGAAUCUCAUUACCUAGGCUGAAAGCAAGCACACACAUACCAAUGAACAGCACAGGAAAUCUGACCUCCCCCAUUUAUGACCUGGACCAGUUCAACACUAGCAAAUGGAUCCCUGAUCUCAGAAAGCUCACCACAAUGCAAGACAAGUUUGGAUACCUCAUCGACUUAAUCUGCUUUAGUUUACAACUUCUGAGCUUGAGAGAUCCGUCAGCCUCAACCUUCCCAGGAAUAGGUGUGACAGAAGUGUGUCACCAGGCCUCCUUGGUGGUACGCUCAACAUAUCACAAAUGACACCUUUUGAGGAAAUCCUUUAAGGCUUCAUUUUGCUCUACAGAGUCAAGACUGCAAAAAAUAUUAAGUUUUAUUGAUGCUUUGUUUUUACAUCAAUCAUUUUUAGAUAUAUCACCAUCACUCCUUAUAACAAAGCAAUUAAGCAAAACUAAGGUGGUGACCUUGUGGGGCCAUGUAUGUGCAACAUUCAGCCUCUGAUCCUUUGUGGUUUAAACCCUAUUUGUUUUGAUUUGUACUUUUCUUAUCAAUAAUUAUUAACUUUUCAUGUAGGUAUUGAUGGUGUACAAUUUUUUUUUUAGCUUAACAUCUUUUGACCAAUUAUCUACUGGAGAAUGGUUUAGUCAAAAAUAUUUUUUUAAUAAUCCAGAAACAAGAAACACAUUAGGAUUGUAUAUCCUCUUCACUUUUCAGUCAUUUGUAUUACUAUGAAGAUGUGAUCUAUUGCAGAAUAUUAUUUCUGAACACCUUCCUGUUCUGUCCUUAUAUUUUAAUCAAGAAAUCUUUGAUACAUAUAUGUUAUACAGAUAAACAGGAAGAGAGCCAUCAGGUAGCUUAAAUCCAUAAUAUUGGUAGAUUGACCCUUUGUUGACACUUGAUUGCUGCCUCAUUAAUCACUCAAGCAUAUGAAACCAUCAAGUAUUGAAUCCAAUCAUUAAUGAGAAAGCUGCCAUUAAUUUAAAAACAUUCUCUAAUUAGUUUGAAACAAAGUCUUUUUCAAUUUAGUUGAAUGCAGACAGUCUUAGCUAUGGAUCAUACAUUGUCCAAAAGCUGCUGGAAAACCUUUUCCAGAGGGUUCUGUGAAUAUGGCCAGAAGACUGUGACCAGGCAAAGGGAUGGGGAUGGUUCCCUUGGCACAUCUAUCUCAUCCCCAACCUCCAUCAAAAAAACACACUUCUGCCUUCACCCUCCUUUCUACUCUUUAGCUCUAGCUCAGCCCAGAAAGUCCCAAGCCCAAUGGCUCCCCAGGAAAGGGAAGUCUCUAAUUGUGGUCAAGGAGAGAGCCCCCCAGGAUUAGAACUUUAGGAAACUUUCAACAACUAACUGUAAUCUUUUUUCUCUGGUGUUGUUUUCUUACUUGUAAAAAUGAGCUAAGUCCUAAAGUAAUUCUAGUUCUAAUAUUCUGAUUAACUCUCAGCCAGUUAUUAAGGACACUUUCAUGUCCACAUAAAAGAACUCUGUAAACCUCAUAGCACACUAUGCGGUUUUUUCCAUCUGCCCAUCUUUUCCCCAUACUGAACUGGUCCCCUACAGGGCUGGCAGCAGUAACCCAGGAAAGCAAGCACAAGGGACAGGCCUUAGGAUCAAGAAGGAGUGAAUGGGGAAAGGAGGGGGAAAAUAAAUGCAAAGGAGGCAAGAGCUCCUUGCUUCAUCAUAAGCAGCUGGUAGAUGAAGCUGACAAUUGAGCACUCAGUGAGUCCCAUUUUCUCCUUCGAUGGCUGCUUAUAUCAAAGUGUCAUGUAAAUUCGGGGCUGCUGCUUGGGCUGCCCUCGGGUGCUUAAUGUUAAGGACCAAUUCUCUCUGGAUUUUGUGGGAGUACCUGCCUCUAUGCUUAAGACACUGGGCCUAGAGGCCCUGUGGGCUUGCAAUCACCAGGCACAUGAGUUGUCCUCCAGUGGCUUUUCAGCUCUAUUUGUUUUAUCCCUAAGAUGCACAGGACCACCCACUAGAUUGGGCACUUUUGAGACAGGAGGGGACUCCUAAGAAGUCUGGAUGCACAAGCACCAUCCUAAAGUCACUCUACAGUUUCCUCUCACUGUGGACUAAAGGUUAGUUGGAUGAAUGAGGUGUCGGAGCAAGGAAGAACUUUGUCCUUUCUAUCCAAGGGGAUAGCUGGAAAAGGAUUGGUAUUGUGAUAGAUGAGACAGCAUGGCAUGUGGAUAAAAUGCUGCCUCUAGAAUCCAGGAACCUGACCUGCAAUUUCAACUUGGGCAAGUCACUUCUCCUGUCUUUUUCAUUCCUGUAAUGAUGCUCUGCAGUUCUCAUUUACUUGAAGCAGGUAACAUAUUAAUAAUGACUGAUAUAUACAUAUCUCAUUGCCUCCUCAUACCAACCCUGAGAAAAGAGAGUUUUAUCCCCAUUUUAUAGAUGAAGAGACUGACAUCUGACUUGGAACCCAAGUUUCUAUUAACUCCAAACCACUGUCCUUUCAGCCACAUGGCCUCCUUUCUCUUGACUAGCAAAUGAGGAUAGUAAUAUCCUAGUAAUCAGGAGACUGGGGGAGAGUUGGCCCCAUAACUGUGCUUCCUGAUCUAUUGUCCUGUUGCUUGAAGAACAGCCACACUCCCACUCUAUCCCAUCGCCGGGAUCCUCUCCCUUCUUUAGGCUCCAUCCAGAGUCUGCCUUCCCAAGGUCCUCCAACUCUUUUCAGCACUCUGCAUGAAAACGUCAUUAUCUCCUAACCCAUCACUUCACUUCCAGGCUCUCUAUGCCUUUCAGGAUGACAAAGAGUCAACCCAGUAAAGUCCCUCAUAUUAAUGAAAGGCAGGGCAACUGCUCUGGUAAUAGCUUUCUAAUCACCACUGAAGAGUGACAAUGGUGGAAAAUUCAGGAGAAGAGUAAAAGGACCAUGGAAUAGGCCAAGGACCUAUCAAUACUUUUGGAACUGCCUACUUUGUCAUCAACUGCUGCAGCCCUUGAGUGACCUGCAAAAAUGUACAUGUCAGCACACAACAAAGCGGCUUAUAUAUACAUCUCUUCCUGAUUCCUAAUUGAGAUUAGGCGCUAAACCUUAAUCUUCUAGAGAUUAGACCAUUCUCUAGAGUAGGAUAAGCGAGUCAAAUCCUCACAGAUAUAAAAUAAAGCCAGGAAUAGUAAUAGGGAUACAAAGCUGUCUUCAAUAGUUGAAAGGCUGUCACAUGGAAGAAUACUUGUUUUAUGUGAUUCCAGAAGACAGAACCAGGACCAACUGAUGGCAGCAGCAGGUAGUAGGAUCUGGGUUCAAUUUAAGGACUUUCUAAUCAUAGAACUGUGUCCCAAAAAAUGUGAUAUGCUACUUCAUGAGAAUCCCUGCAAGUGUUCAAACUAAGGCUGAACAACCUGUUAUGGGUAUCAGAGGAGAUUGCUGCACUGGGUAGGAGGUUGGACUAGCAAAUUAAAGCUCCUUCCACAUAUGAAAUUCUAUGCCUCUAAGCUAUUUACUACUCCAAGGCUUAGAAAGUGGUUUCCCAAAGCCAUCACUUUGUAUUGGGGAAAGUUAAUUCUUAACCAUAAUGUAUAUAUUAUAUUUAGGAUGCCAGAGAAUUAGUGAUCAGUGUCUUCUGGGUUCUGCAGUUCUUACUGACAACUGAGAAUUACAGCAAAAAGAGCACCUCUCUAGUAUUGCUACUAGCAAAAACUACAAAUCUACAGAUCUCAAAAUCAGCAAGUAUUUAGAGAGAAUUCUGCAUAAUAGAUAUACAAUUUGGCAGGGUUUAUAUUUCGGCCAAGAUUUCUAAUUUUGUUUAAAGUACAAUAUGGGCUUCCUCCUAGAAAAGAAGAUAAAAAGCAUAAGGGAACACUUAUCAACUCUUAAAAUCAAAGAAAAUGAGAUUUUCCUUUUAGAUGUAUGCACACACGUAAUAUAUAUAUAUACAUACAGAGAGAGAGAGAGAGAGAGAGAGAGAGAGAGAGAGAGUGUGUGUGUGUGUGUAUAUGUCUAGGUGUGCAUCUCUUCCCCUCCCUUUCCAUUCCCAUGCAUGCAUGCAUGUAUGUAUGUAUGCACGCACGCACACACACACACACACACACACACACCCCUCCCUCAAGAGAUUGUAGUAUGGAAGAAUAUUACACAGAAGAGUAAGAAAAGGAUCAGUGAACACUUAAGACAUAAAAAAUUAACAUUGGGAUCUUCCCCCAAAAAGGAGGAUGGAUGCUCUGAAGAGGAAGCACAUGCUGGUACUUUAAAGAAAUGAUGAUAUGAAUCCACAAGUACUGUCAGCUGAGAGAUCACUUUGGAAGGAUCAGAGAAAAGAAGGCAAAUAAUGAUGGUGGGUAGACUCACAAUUAAACAGGCACUGAGGGGGCUAUUUGCUGGUCUGAUAGUAACAGAAUUGCUGUUUUCCAGGCCAUAUCCUAGAUAAGAUAGAGAAUUUGUUCCCAAGACUUAUUCAACCUAUUUCUGGCAAUUCAGCUGGGAAUAUACGAGACUUCCAGAAGAAACCUAGAAAGCAUUGUUAAAGAUGUGGUUACCAGCAAGAAAAUGAAAAUCUUAUUAGCACAGAUGUUUUUAUCACUACUAUCCACUGAAGUAAAAGGGAUUCAGAAAUAAAAGGGAAAUUUUGGAAGUUUGAGAAUGGGAUUUGGAUUUCUUGACCACAGAUUAAAAUAUGAGAAGAACAGGCUCCUAGACAAGGAUGGAACAUACCUAACAAGAUCUGGUAAGAAUACAUCUAUCUGAAGGCAAAACUGACUAAACUAACUAGAUACUACAAAGAACAGUCACCAAGUAGAACUAGCAGUAGAUAUGCUCAAGAAUUCACAGGAGACAAAAUCCUAAAGGAGUCAGUUUGAAGAAGAAUUUAAUAUAAAAGAUAUAGCCUUAGAUGAUUAUACUUAAUAAAUGCACAGGAGUAGUAACAAGGCAAGAUGAACAAAGGAGUCAAAUUUGACCUCUUAGAUCUAUCACUGAAACAUAACUAAAAAACGGCUUUGAACUAAUAAACCUUAUUCAAAGUAUUCAAAGUAACAAAUUAUAAGGAAUAACAAUGCCUAUGAAAAUAUGUUAACACUAGAAGCAUGUUGAACAUUUGGGUCAAGAUCAGUAGAGAGAGAAAGAGCUGCUAUUGCCCACAGAGUGCAUUACAGACCACCUCGAAAAAGAGAAAAAUCAAUGUGGAGUUGAGCAGAGGUCAAGCCUGGCACAAAAGUACAAGAAAGUAGCAAUGUAAGACGACUUCAGUUACCUGGACAAUUGUCAGAAGCAACUAAUAAUUCCAUAACUUUGCUUAAUGAUAAUCUCACCCUUCAAAAGAUUGAGAAGCCAAUAAAGACAAAUUCUGUUCUUACAAAUAGAAGAGAACUGGUUGCUAGUGGUGAAAUGAAUGGAAAAGUUAAAAGGGACAAUCCCACUGGAAAAUUAAUUACAGAAGCCAGGUGUUAUCUAACAAGAGACCUACAUUUUUGAGAAAGGAAAUUCCAAAGGCUUUUGAGAAAAGUUAGGUAGAAUCCUACACUCUGAAAUUCUAUGGAGAAGUCAGCCCAGGAGGACUACGCUAACAAGCCCUAAAGGAAUUCUGAAGUUACAGAGAAACAAUUCCAGCAAGGACAAAAAGGAGAUAAGACUUAGGUGGCUGCACAAGUGUUUAUCCCAUCCACCAAUUUUAAUAUUAAAAAGAUAUAAGCAGAUAGAGGAGGAUCAAAGAAGAGAAAGAACUGUUAAUACAGGUGAAUGGACAAUGGUAACAAAGAAGAGAUAGGAAGCUGCACAAAUCCUAUUUUGCGUCUGCUUUCUAUGCUGAGAAUGAUCUCUGGACUACAAAAAAUAGAAUAAAAACAACUACUAGGAACUGACACCCAACAUAACAGCUAUUUCUGAGUCAAAUUACCCCAGCCCAGAUGAACUGCAUCUUAAAGUGCUCAAAGAUUUGACAGAUGUGAUUACUGAGCCAUUGUUAAUGACUUCUGAAAAGUUCCCAGAAAACUGGUAGAGGUACCAAAAGGAAAGGGAGAAGAGAAUCUGAAAAUUGUAGGCCAGUUGAGACUGACUUUGCUAACUGGCAAAAUUCUAGAAUAUUAUCCUUAAAAGGAUAGUAAACAUGUAGAAAAGUGGAGUUCACAAUGAGCCAAUGUAAUCUCAGCCAAGACAGGUCAUGUCAGUCUAACAGAUUUCCUUUUUCAAGAGGAUCACUGCAAUAGGAAGAGAUCAGUGAAAUACUGUAGAGUUUGCCUAGAUUUUAGCGAAGUGUUGAAUAAAUUUUUUAACAUUGUGCUUGGGGAAACAAACAUAAGGGAACUAAUUGAGUUACAGAUUUGGAACUGGUUGAAUGGCUAGAUCCAAAUAAUAGUUAUUAAUGUGGUUCAAUGUAAUCUUGGAUACUUACUGAUGGAGGGCCCCAGGAAUCUGUGUGUGGCUACAAACCACGUAAGCCUUUUCUCAGUGACUUGUGAGAAAACUAUAAAGAACAAGCUUAUCAAAUUUGUAAAUGACAGAAACCUGGAAGGGCUAGCUACCAUAAUGGUUGAUAGUGAAUUUUUUUUUAAAUCUCCAAAGGUCAAAUUGAGUCAAAUUUAAAGUGAUAAAAUUUAAUGGGGAUAAAUGAAGUUUUGCCUGGGAGUUUAAAACAUCAGCUUCACAAAACUAAAAAGGAAGAGGCAUAGCCAGACAGCAAUACAUCUGGAAAUACUUGUGGGUUUUAGUAGGCUACAAGUUCAAUAUGAGCCAACAGUGCAAUACUGAGGACAAGAAAUCUUUUUUGCUUUUUUUUUUUUUAAACAAUUAUUAUUCUUUAAGGGAAAUCAGAAUAGAAAUAAGCUUUUAGAUAGAUAAAAAUAAUUAUGCCAUGGCAUUAUGUUAUUGCUUCCAAAUAAAUGCUUAUCUGUUUUGUGCUAUUGUUUUUUAUAUAUUCCAAGUAAAAAGCCCUGUGAGUGAUUAUUUCACAAUAGUGAGAUAAACUUGGUAGAUAACAAAUCUUAGGCUGCUUUAAGAGGCAGUGUCCAGUAGAUGAUGGUCCCACUAAUGGUCCCACUAUACUUUGCCCUUCCAGGCACACAUGAAUACAGUAUUCAUCUAUGAGUAUCACAGUGUAGGAAGAGCAAUGAUAAAUUAAAGAGGACCACUCAAGAUAACUAAAUCCUUGCCAUAUGAAGUUUGGAUGAAAAAAAUUGUAAAAGAAAAGGUUGAGGGUUAGGGAGACAUAAUAGUGAUCUUUAAGAAUUUGAAAGACAGUUGUCUGGAAGAGGUAUUAAACAUGUUCUCCUUGGCCCCAGAAGAUAAAAAUAUGAGAAAUGGGUAAAAGUUGCCAAAAAAGCAAAUUUAAACCAGGAAAAAAAAUUUUUCAUUUUUUUUUUUUUCCUGAGGCAAUUGGAUUAAAUGUUAAAUGACUCGUCCAAG
rnacentral:lncRNA from 1 species